CCGGACGCCCGCUGCCCACCUCCACACCACCGGACAACCUCUAUCCCUGCCGCCCUCCUCUCCAUCGUGUGCUUGCCUUCUUUGUUAUCGACACGCCCGAGGAGAGAGGAUUCCUACCACAAUUCCAUGCCGCCAUCAGUGAUGCCAAGCAAGCAAGCCACAAUGUCUGCACCUAGGCCUUCAGCGGCUCCAGCUACUGCGUGCUGCAGAUGGUACCCUUCCAUUACGGUGAGGUGGUCUUCCAGAUUAGCUAUCACGGUGGUUCCUUGGUGUGCCCAUGGGCAUCUCACCAACUGUUUGAUGAAAUGCAUGGUCGAGGCACAGGUUGCCAUCAAUGAGAUAUGGCGAGCACAUUACCGGUCAGAGGAGCGAUGGCGGGAGGAGCCCAAGGCCAUGGCGACGACGACGACCCGGGGACGGUGUUGUCGGGGGCAAGUGGGCAACAACCUGGAGCGAGGGAGAGAUCAAAUAUUCAGAUUGGCCAUGGCGACGAACUCCUGGGUGCUCCGGGAUGCUUCAUCGGCGAGAAAUCGACCUGGACUGCAGCGUGCAGCAAAUGGCGGCUACAGCGGCGCGGUUUUGGCCGGAUCCAGGGAAGACGACGUCUCCGACGAGCUCUUAACUUCCUUUUUCACACAGACCUCAGCACUGAAACGAACAAGACUAGGAGAGAGAUCUCCACGGGCGGAUCCGGCAGCGGCGGCGAUGCUUUUGAGAGGAGGAGGUCACCCGCGGCGGUAGCUUGUGGAAGGAGGUUGCGCCGGCAG
rnacentral:lncRNA from 1 species